rnacentral:rRNA from 1 species
AGAGUGAACGCUGGCGGUAGGCCUAACACAUGCAAGUCGAACGGCAGCACAGGAGAGCUUGCUCUCUGGGUGGCGAGUGGCGGACGGGUGAGGAAUACAUCGGAAUCUACCUUUUCGUGGGGGAUAACGUAGGGAAACUUACGCUAAUACCGCAUAAGACCUUCGGGUGAAAGCCGGGGACCUUCGGGCCUGGCGCGGAUAGAUGAGCCGAUGUCGGAUUAGCUUGUUGGCGGGGUAAAAGCCCACCAAGGCGACGAUCCGUAGCUGGUCUGAGAGGAUGAUCAGCCACACUGGAACUGAGACACGGUCCAGACUCCUACGGGAGGCAGCAGUGGGGAAUAUUGGACAAUGGGCGCAAGCCUGAUCCAGCCAUACCGCGUGGGUGAAGAAGGCCUGGUUGUAACGUAGUCUUU